rnacentral:rRNA from 1 species
AAGACCUUGCGCUUUUGGAGCGGCCGAUGCCUGAUUAGCUUGUUGGUAAGGUAAAAGCUUACCAAGGCUUCGAUCAGUAGCUGGUCUGAGAGGACGACCAGCCACACUGGGACUGAGACACGGCCCAGACUCCUACGGGAGGCAGCAGUGGGGAAUUUUGGACAAUGGGGGCAACCCUGAUCCAGCCAUGCCGCGUGAGUGAAGAAGGCCUUCGGGUUGUAAAGCUCUUUCAGCCGGAAAGAAACGGUUGCGGAUAACACCCGCGAUUCAUGACGGUACCGGAAGAAGAAGCACCGGCUAACUACGUGCCAGCAGCCGCGGUAAUACGUAGGGUGCGAGCGUUAAUCGGAAUUACUGGGCGUAAAGGGUGCGCAGGRGGUUUUGUAAGUCAGAUGUGAAAUCCCCGGGCUCAACCUGGGAACU